CCAUAUUUAAGUCUUUCGCAAGAAGAUAGAAAUCUGUUGUUAGAGAAAGUAAACAUAGUGUUUCACGCCGCGGCCACUGUGAGAUUCAACGAGCCGUUACACGUCGUUACGCGAAUCUACAUGAGAUUGGGGAGAAAGUUUAUACUACGAGCUUGAAACCUUCAGAGAUGAUCGAUAUGUGUGACAAAUUCGAAAAACGUCUAUCAACCAAAUAGAAAAAAGAUUUUAAAAUCUUAUCCGAACACAUACACAUUCAGUAAGAAUUUAGCAGAGCAAAUUGUAGCAACCAAGUGCAAAGAUAUGCCAGUUGCGAUAGUUCGGCCAAGCAUAAUUGGUGCCUCUUUGAAAGAGCCAUGUCCUGGUUGGAUACAGAAUAUUUCUGCAUUAACAAAUUCAGAUUAUAAGACAGUAGUAUGAAACUAAUGGCGAUCCAGCUAUCGAAACGAAACAAAGGAGAAACUCGAAAGUGGUGUACAUGCAGUAGAAUUUGCAAAUAUACAUAGUGUUAGGAAAGGCCGAAUGAUAUACGCUGUAUGUACUGAUAUAAUGAACUGGCUUCACUGCGAAACAGCUAAUGAAAGGAUAAUGAAGAGGUGCGUUUUGAAAUGUACGUAUUUGAGAAAUAGUCUCAAUGACUGUGAGCACAAAAAGAUUGCAAUUAAUUAUGUCGAAAGUAUUAUGUGACUUAGCAGCCAAGAAGACAUGAAAUCCAUAUAUACUUAAAAGAUUUGUCAUUCAAUUUUAAUCUAUGUUUCAAUAAAUGAAAUUUCUUAUUAAAGUGAUUGUACCGUUAUCAGAAUUGUUCUGCCGCCCUGUUGAGACGGAUACAGGAGGCUCUAUUGUAUUUCAGAUUACCCGGUUGAAAUUUUACUGUCAUUGCAAACUGAUGAGCAAGAUGUGAUAAUGUAAAUGAGCACAGCGGCCAAUGAAAUCAACCAGAACAUAAAAUUUGUAUAUAUUAGGUAUCUCAUAUUAUAUUCGUAUCUUUAUUAUAAUAUCAUUUAUUCUGUAAUUUAAUUGUGUACAUAUCUAUGUAUCUAUUGAUAUGUACGUAUCUGUUAUUGUAUACAUAUAUAUCUA